rnacentral:rRNA from 1 species
GGGUUGUGAGGUUAAGCGACUAAGCGUACACGGUGGAUGCCCUGGCAGUCAGAGGCGAUGAAGGACGUGCUAAUCUGCGAUAAGCGCCGGUAAGGUGAUAUGAACCGUUAUAACCGGCGAUUUCCGAAUGGGGAAACCCAGUGUGAUUCGUCACACUAUCAUUAACUGAAUCCAUAGGUUAAUGAGGCGAACCGGGGGAACUGAAACAUCUAAGUACCCCGAGGAAAAGAAAUCAACCGAGAUUCCCCCAGUAGCGGCGAGCGAACGGGGAGGAGCCCAGAGCCUGAAUCAGCAUGUGUGUUAGUGGAAGCGUCUGGAAAGGCGCGCGAUACAGGGUGACAGCCCCGUACACAAAAGCGCAUGUGCUGUGAGCUCGAUGAGUAGGGCGGGACACGUGGUAUCCUGUCUGAAUAUGGGGGGACCAUCCUCCAAGGCUAAAUACUCCUGACUGACCGAUAGUGAACCAGUACCGUGAGGGAAAGGCGAAAAGAACCCCGGCGAGGGGAGUGAAAAAGAACCUGAAACCGUGUACGUACAAGCAGUGGGAGCCCCACCACUAAGCCAGUGGUGAACUCCACAUCCGCAUCCUUUGCUGAGGAUACGGUUAACGGAGCGAAAGCGACGUUCAACCGCAAAACAAGCAGAGGGGGCUUAGUGGUGGGGUGACUGCGUACCUUUUGUAUAAUGGGUCAGCGACUUAUAUUCUGUAGCAAGGUUAACCGAAUAGGGGAGCCGGAGGGAAACCGAGUCUUAAUUGGGCGUUAAGUUGCAGGGUAUAGACCCGAAACCCGGUGAUCUAGCCAUGGGCAGGUUGAAGGUUGGGUAACACUAACUGGAGGACCGAACCGACUAAUGUUGAAAAAUUAGCGGAUGACCUGUGGCUGGGGGUGAAAGGCCAAUCAAACCGGGAGAUAGCUGGUUCUCCCCGAAAGCUAUUUAGGUAGCGCCUCGUGAAUUCAUCUCCGGGGGUAGAGCACUGUUUCGGCUAGGGGGCCAUCCCGGCUUACCAACCCGAUGCAAACUGCGAAUACCGGAGAAUGUUAUCACGGGAGACACACGGCGGGUGCUAACGUCCGUCGUGAAGAGGGAAACAACCCAGACCGCCAGCUAAGGUCCCAAAGUCAUGGUUAAGUGGGAAACGAUGUGGGAAGGCCCAGACAGCCAGGAUGUUGGCUUAGAAGCAGCCAUCAUUUAAAGAAAGCGUAAUAGCUCACUGGUCGAGUCGGCCUGCGCGGAAGAUGUAACGGGGCUAAACCAUGCACCGAAGCUGCGGCAGCGAACGUAUCACCCAAGACAACUUUACGGAGUUGACGAUUGACGGAGCGAAGCGA